rnacentral:rRNA from 1 species
CGGAGGAUCCAAGCGUUAUCCGGAAUCAUUGGGUUUAAAGGGUCCGUAGGCGGUUUAGUAAGUCAGUGGUGAAAGCCCAUCGCUCAACGGUGGAACGGCCAUUGAUACUGCUAGACUUGAAUCAUUAGGAAGUAACUAGAAUAUGUAGUGUAGCGGUGAAAUGCUUAGAGAUUACAUGGAAUACCAAUUGCGAAGGCAGGUUACUACUAAUGGAUUGACGCUGAUGGACGAAAGCGUGGGUAGCGAACAGGAUUAGAUACCCUGGUAGUCCACGCCGUAAACGAUGGAUACUAGCUGUUGGGAGCAAUUUCAGUGGCUAAGCGAAAGUGAUAAGUAUCCCACCUGGGGAGUACGGGCGCAAGCCUG